rnacentral:rRNA from 1 species
UACGGAGGGAGCUAGCGUUGUUCGGAUAUACUGGGCGUAAAGCGCACGUAGGCGGCGCAGCAAGUCAGGGGUGAAAUCCCGGAGCUCAACUCCGGAACUGCCUUUGAAACUGCAGUGCUAGAAUUCUGGAGAGGCGAGUGGAAUUCCGAGUGUAGAGGUGAAAUUCGUAGAUAUUCGGAAGAACACCAGUGGCGAAGGCGGCUCACUGGACUGGUAUUGACGCUGAGGUGCGAAAGCGUGGGGGAGCAAACAGG